ensembl:lncRNA
UUUUGGCAAAUAAAUGUACCUUUUUAUUGAAUAUUGUUAUGGGUAUUAUUACCAAGGCGGCACGCCCCAGACUUCAUAUUAACAAAACAUUUUCACUACUACAGGGUUUGACCCCAAAAAAUGUUUUUCCUGAAGGGAGAUCCUUUCACAGAAAGGACUAUGGAUACUUAGUGCAGACAUACAGACACUUACUCGGUGUCAGUAUGGCCGUGUAUAUACAGUGCAUAUCAUAAGCAUCCACCCCCACCACCCCCUUGGAUUUUUUUUCACAUUUUGUUGAGUUAACAAAGUGGGAUUGAACUGGAUAUAAUUGUGAUUUGUUGGUAUAUUUUUAUCACUACCCCACACACACAAUUAUGUGUAAGGUCUCUCAGUCGAGUAGUGUAUUUCAAGCACAGAUUCAAACACAAAGACAAGGGGGCUUUUCCAAUGACUCACAAAGAAUGACACAGAUUGGUAGAUGAGUAAAAAGUAGACACAGAAUAUCCCUUUGAGCAUGGUAAAGUUAUUAAUUAAGCUUUAGAUGGUGAACCAAUACACCCAAGACACAGGUGUCCUUCCUAACGGAGUUGCCAGCAGAGGAAGGAAACAGCUCAGGGAUUUCACCAUGAGGCCAUUUAAAAAAAAGUAACAACGUUUAAAGGCUGUGAUGGGAGAAAACUGAAGCUAGAUCAACAACAUUGCAGUAACUCCACAAUACUACCCUAAAUGACAGAGUGAAAAGGCUCUAAACAAUUCAUACUGCAACAAAUGUGCCAAAGGACUUUUUGUCCUGAAUAAGUUUUAUGUUUGGGACAAAUUCAACACAACACAUCGCCAAGUACUAUGCUCCAUAUUUUCAAGCAUGGUGGUGGCUGCAUCAUGUUAUGGGUAUUCUUGUCAUUGGCAAGGAUUAGGGAGUUUUUCCAGGAUAAAAAUAAACAGAAUGGAGUUAGCCACAGGCAAAAUCCUAGAGAGGAACCUGGUUCAGUCUUCUUUCCACCAGACACUGAGAGACAAAUUCAUCUUUCAGCAGGAAAAUAACCUAAAACACAAGGCCAAAUCUACACUGCAGUUACUUACCAAGAUGUUCCUGAGUGGCCUAGUUACAGUUUUGACUUAAACCCGCUUGAAAAGCUAAUGGCAAGACUUGAAAAUGGCUGUCUAGCAAUGAUCAACAACCAACUUGACAGAGCUUGAAGAAGUUUGAAAGAAUAAUGUGAAAAUAUUGCACAAUCCAGGUGUGCAAAGGUCUAAGAGACUUACCCAAAAAGUCUCACAGCUGCAAUCGCUGCCAAAGGUGUUUCUAAUAUGUAUUGACUCAGGUAAGUUACAUAUUUAUCUAAUCAAGACACACUGUCCAUGACAUAGACUGACCAGUUGAAAACUAUGAUCCCUUAUUGAUGUUGCCGGGUAAACCCACCUCAAUCAGUGUAGAUGAAGGGGAGGAGACAGGUUAAAGAAUGAUUUGAGACAAUUGAGUCAUGGAUUGUGAACAUGUGCAAUUCAGAGAGUGAAUGGGCAAGACAAAAGAGCCUUUGAAUGGGGUAUGGUAGUAGGUGCCAGGCGCACUGGUUUGAGUGUGUCAUCAUCAACUGCAACGCUGACGAGUUUUUCACACAACAGUUUCCCAUGUGUUUCAAGAAUGGUCCACCACCCAAAGGACAUCCAGCCAACUUGACAGCACUAUGGGAAGCAUUGGAGUCAACAUGGGCCAACAUCCCUGUGGAACGCUUUUGACACCUUGUAGAGUCCAUGCCCAACAAAUUGAGGCUGUGCUGAAGGGGAAAAAACAGGGUGAAACUCAAUAUUAGGAAGGUGCUCUGUUUUGUACACUCAGCGUAUAUGUGUGUCCUAUUUUCUGUUAAUUCAAAUGUACAUGAGUAUUUUGUGUAGAUCAUUGACAACAAUAAAUGUUGAAGAAAUCCAUGGGGGCUGAAUACUUAUGAUAUGCACUGUAGCCUAAGUCACCAGAGUAGAGAGUUUAUCCGAAUGCAAAAGUUUUCAGGUUGUGGUUCUGUUUUUAUGGCUAUGUACCUGGACACACACUGGGUUAAUAUAUCACCAAUAAUCUGCCAGAAAACGAUUCAUUUCAACAUGUGAACAACCUUCUUUCUGUUUCUCAGAUACCCAAUAUUAAUGAGUAGAAAUAAUAAGUAACAUCUUGUUGGAAAUAAACUGUUACAGCAUUAAUGUUUGCUUUGAAAUCACACAACGAUAUCAAAUUCAUAAGUGUAUUAAUUAUUACACAUUUCUUUCCAACAAUUGUUUCUUGCUGCCUUGGCCUGAUCUGUGUUUCUAGGCCAAGAUGCUUUGCUCUGUGGUUCUAGGCCAAGAUGCCAUGCUCAGUAUUCUAGCCCAACGUGUCCAGCUGAUGAGACCAGCUGUGAAGAGAAGUGAAGUGAUGUCAGGUCUCUCCACUGUACCACAGCAGAGCUGCUUCUGAAACAUUCUAAAGGUUCUAGAAGUGUUUUAGAGGGCUCUAGAAUGUUCUAGAAUAAAGAUCUCUGGAGCAGCAAUGGAAAAGCUCAGCUAGAAUGUUGAUCCACACUGACAAAUUAUUGCUUAACUGAGGCACACAGUAGUUUUGAAUUCCAAGUACAUAAUGAAGUAGUAAUUUGUUUUGUUCAUUACUCUAGCGAUAUUAAACCAUGUGAAUGAGGUUUGGAAUUCAACUCUACAUGCCUACUGUACUAUCACUACACAUAAAAUGAGGAGGUCACUGAAACGGACUUCUCAAUAAGGUUUACUGACUGGGGUAGAAAUGCAAAAGUACUGAAUGUAAAACAAAUUUGGAAGACAAACGCUAGAUUCAAUUUACAUUGAGUAGGUACGGUUCGGAGAUUUAAUAGUAAGAAAUCUCUAUGACGAUAGCUAAUAAAAGAGGCAAGAGAGGGCAGUCUUGUCUGUUUCCACACCUUAACGGAAAGUAAUGUAUAAGAAAUCUAACUUUAUAUUUGUGAAGUGUUGGGUUUCACACCUUGCCUCUUGGCCAAUUAAACAGAUUGUUAUCAAUGUUCUUCAGCUACUGUACGUUGAAAUCACGACUCUUCCUGGGUAAAAAGGGGCCCAAUAUUGAAAAUAAGUGAAUUUGGUGUCACAGGGUUGUAACACUGUCACAUACACUCCUCGGACAGUUCAUUAGGUACAUCACAGCGUCUAGGGUUUACAUCCAGUCAGCGGAGGUCCUGUGGGCGAAAACACCUCGGUGACGACGGAGGUCAAAGGAGAAUGGCAAGAAUCGUGGAAGCUAACAGGCGGGCCACAAACAGAUAAAUAACGGCGCAGUACAACAACAGUUGUGUGCAGACCGGCACAUCGGAAUGCACAACUCGUCGAUCCUUGUCACGGAUGAGUUGGAACGGGCUGUUUGCAGCAUAAAUGUACCACCAUCCGAUCUGCAGCAGCAGGCGUGAUUCCAUUGCGAGGACCAACAUCCAUGUGGAAUGUUUCCGACACCCAAAGUAUUUGGGCUCUUCUGGAGGCAAAGGGGGGUCUGACCCGGUAUUAGAUGGGUGUACCUAAUAAACUCUCCUGUGAGUGUACUUUGCUUAUAAUACUGACACACACCAACUGCACACAAAGAAUACCUUUUCAACAUAUACAACGAAUCUCACUGUUCUAAAACACUCCAUACAAAAAAUAUUACACUUUCUACUUUCAAUCAGCUAAAAUUAUAAAAUGAAAGAAACAAAUGUAACAAGUUCCAAUUUAAAAUGAUUAUCGAGACAAAACAAACAAAAGACAGUUUUAAGGACUAACAAAGACAGCCGAGUGAAAAAAAUAAUAAACUACCAACAUAUAGAAAGAACCAAGUGAAAAUGUCAGUUUCAUAGCUGGCCUAAAGCCAACCCAGCUCCAUUGUGUGUGUGUGUGUGUGUGUGUGUGUGUGUAUUACAUCUAAGCUUUCCUCAGCUCUGUACACAGACAGACAGGUGAGGGCAUGUAGAAACUCAUCCUGCCCCAAGCAUCAGACCUGGCACAGCCAAUGAUGUAGUCGGGAAGUCUUGAACCAGCCCAUGACGUCAUCUGGGCUACAUUUCACAUGACAGGAACCUAACUACCACAGAUUUAAAUAAGUGACACGUUUAACAUAAAGCUAGGCUAGGGAUGGUAGAGGACAUUAGGGUAAUCCCCUUCAUUGAUUAAUCUGCUAAAACUGUUUGAAUAACGAUGUUUAUACUCUGAAGUCAAUGAUUAAAGGUCCAAUGCAGCCAUUUUUAUCUCAAUAUCAAAUCAUUUCUGGGUAACAGUUAAGUAGCUUACUGUUUUCAGUUAAAAUGGUGAAAAAUAAACAAAAAUAGCUUCUUAGCGAAGAACAAUAACUUUGCUAGGACUGUCUGUGAGUGUUCUGAGUGGGGAGGGGAAAACUAACUGUUAUUGGCAGAGGUUUGGUACUCUUUCUUAUUGGUCUGUUAACUAAUUUACCGCCUGG